rnacentral:rRNA from 1 species
AGCGAACGCUGGCGGCGUGCCUAACACAUGCAAGUCGAACGCGAAAGGGGGGGCAACCCCCCGAGUAGAGUGGCGCACGGGUGAGUAACGCGUGGGUAAUCUGCCCUCGAAUGGGGAAUAACCUCGCGAAAGCGGGGCUAAUACCGCAUGACAUCUUCCUCUCCUCGGAGAGUACGAUCAAAGGUGACCUCUGCCUGCAAGUUGCCGUUUGAGGAGGAGCCAGGGUCCCAUUAUCUAGUUGGUAGGGUAACGGCCUACCAAGGCUAAGAGGGGUAGCCGGCCUGAGAGGGUGACCGGCCACACUGGAACUGAGACACGGUCCAGACUCCUACGGGAGGCAGCAGUGAGGAAUAUUGCGCAAUGGGCGAAAGCCUGACGCAGCGACGCCGCGUGGAGGAUGAAGGCCUUCGGGUCGUAAACUCCUGUCGAGAGGGACGAAAUGGCGCUCAGUCAAUAGCUGGGCGUCUUGACGGUACCUCUGGAGGAAGCCCCGGCUAACUCCGUGCCAGCAGCCGCAGUAACAC